GGUGAGUGCUUGUUAAUGUGACUGUAGGUGAGUGCUUGUUAAUGUGACUGUAGGUGAGUGCUUGUUAAUGUGGCUGUAGAUGAGUGCUUGUUAAUGUGGCUGUAGGUGAGUGCUUGUUAAUGUGGCUGUAGGUGAGUGCUUGUUAAUGUGACUGUAGGUGAGUGCUUGUUAAUGUGGCUGUAGGUGAGUGCUUGUUAAUGUGGCUGUAGGUGAGUGCUUGUUAAUGUGGCUGUAGGUGAGUGCUUGUUAAUGUGGCUGUAGGUGAGUGCUUGUUAAUGUGACUGUAGGUGAGUGCUUGUUAAUGUGACUGUAGGUGAGUGCUUGUUAAUGUGGCUGUAGGUGAGUGCUUGUUAAUGUGACUGUAGGUGAGUGCUUGUUAAUGUGACUGUAGGUGAGUGCUUGUUAAUGUGACUGUAGGUGAGUGCUUGUUAAUGUGGCUGUAGGUGAGUGUUUGUUAAUGUGACUGUAGAUGAGUGCUUGUUAAUGUGGCUGUAGAUGAGUGCUUGUUAAUGUGGCUGUAGGUGAGUGCUUGUUAAUGUGGCUGUAGGUGAGUGCUUGUUAAUGUGACUGUAGGUGAGUGCUUGUUAAUGUGACUGUAGGUGAGUGCUUGUUAAUGUGGCUGUAGGUGAGUGCUUGUUAAUGUGACUGUAGGUGAGUGCUUGUUAAUGUAGCUGUAGGUGAGUGCUUGUUAAUGUGGCUGUAGGUGAGUGCUUGUUAAUAUGGCUGUAGGUGAGUGCUUGUUAAUGUGACUGUAGGUGAGUGCUUGUUAAUGUGACUGUAGGUGAGUGCUUGUUAAUGUGGCUGUAGGUGAGUGCUUGUUAAUGUGGCUGUAGGUGAGUGCUUGUUAAUGUGACUGUAGGUGAGUGCUUGUUAAUGUGACUGUAGGUGAGUGCUUGUUAAUGUGAUUGUAGAUGAGUGCUUGUUAAUGUGGCUG